rnacentral:lncRNA from 1 species
CUCAACUCUCGAAUUGAAGAGGCACAUCACAGCAUAGAAAAGCUCAAUAUAAGACUCAUAGCUCAAAUGUGAUAUCUGUAUCCACAGAAUGUUUGGCAUUACUCAGUACAAGCAUUGUGAUUUCGACAUUUGAGUAUGCCAGAGGACGCUUUGGCAAUACACGGAGGAGAAAGCAUGUUUGGAAUGUUGGAGAUCCAGGGCAACUCCAGACGUCCAAAACUUCAGCUUGUGAAGAGGAGGAACAAAGAGACCCUGGUUCCUAUCAUCAAGAAUCAUGUGAAGCGUCAGACUAUGAAACAACAGUGACAGCACCGUCAACAAAAACGGAAGGGAUCUUUUGCAGCUCUGUAGAAGCCUGGGUCUGUACUUUGUCAAUGGUAAGUUACGGAGGGACUCUUUGGGGAAAUUCACUUACUGCUCACCUCUUGGCCACAGUACAGUACACUAUAUGAUCACAGACAUUGACCCUUUCUCUCUCAGCUCAUUCACUGUCAAGCCACUAACACCUCUGUCUGAUCACAGCCAAAUUACGUUGUUCCUCAAAAGAACAGACAUGGAAACAACCACACAUUCA